GCAGGGAUGCCACCAACACCGCACACGACUCCGGGCUCUGCUCCGGUGGCAGCCGCAGAUGCCCAGGUCCGCCGUGAUGCCGUGGCCCUGCCACCAGCUGAUGCCGUGUCCAACAUCCUGCCCAGAAUACAGCAGAGGUCCCAGGAUGUCCUCCAGGAGCAGGUGAGCAUGCUGUGGUGACACCCCCAGGAUCCUGCUUCCCAAGGAGGGGAUAGGUCCAAGCACAGAGCUGCUGCUGUCCUUCUUCCAUGCAAGGAGCAGAGCCCUGCUGUGCUGGCACCCCAAGGCCACUCGGUGCUGCCAGACCCCCCCGGGCUGCUGUGGAAGGACAUCCUCAAGGCUGAGCUUUGGCAGGGAUACAGGAGGCUCAGCUGCCUCCUAACACGCAGUCCCUCUGCUGAUUAUUCUCCUUUUGGCACCCACUGGUGCCAUGGGACAAAGAGGUUCUCCCCCCCCCUAAAAACGAACUUGGUGUCCACCCCUACCCAAGAGCUAUCCCUUGAUUUCAGGGGGUUUAUUUCAGCAGGCUGAGGGGUGGGAUGCUCAUGCAGAUGCAGCAGCUUCA